CUGCCUCCUAAAAAAGGUGGAACACCGCAGUUAGCAGAAACCAGAGCUGGCUCGACUAGGCUCUUGAAUCCAGUCAAAUUCAAAUAUCGGAUGAAAGCUGUGAGAUCUUACGUCGCUGAGGCCCAGGUCAUCCAGCAGCUGUCGAUCUCUCUCAUCUUCUCCUCCGGUGUGGACGAAGAGCUGCUCUAACGGAGCCGCUGCCAGAAGCACCACUCUCACCUGGGGAAAAAAAGCAAACACGGAUUAGACCUGGGAGUGUCUGACUUUUUAAUAGCUGUGACUUCUCUUGUCCCUGAUGAAUGUUUUCUGGAACUAGAAAAAAAAGUUACGUGACAAUACAUCAAGGACACGAGACAGCAAAACAUCUGAAGCGUCAGGAUGUCUUUCCAAAGAUCACUCGCCUUGAUUUGUUUAAGACGUGCAAAUUAAUGUGCUUAAAUGUUCAUGAGCAGUGUUAACCUUUUGGAGAGGCUGAAUUCCAGCAAUGCUUAACCAACUAUCCACCUCUGUGGCAGCCUGUUAAUAAUAUAUUCUUUGUGGCUUACUUUAAAUUCCUGUUCACUUUAGUCUUACAGAUGUAACCUGAAGCUCUUGUCUGUACCAUCUUUCAGACCUCUGUGUAAUUGCGACUGCACAGAGAGAGUUUUGCAAAUAUACAAGCGAUGAGGCAGAGGAAUGAGCCGACGGCAUCCUGUCAUUUCUCACUUUGUUCUCACAGCAUGAUAAACAUUUUAGUAUUUCUUUAGAGCAUUUGCUAUUAGGACCUUCGGUAAAAGUGCUGCAUGGUCAGACAUUAGAGGAAUGUUGGCCAACUCUCUGCGGGCAAACAUCUCUGGUUUAAUAAUCUUGGUGCAACUUGCCUUUUCAAAUCCCACCAGAGAUUCCCAGGUGACUCUGAUGAUCACUCUUGUAUCUUCCAGUAUUUCUCGCAAUGAUCAGGCCUCAACUUCAACAAAGACAGUUUGACAUUUUCCUCUUGAAUUUCCUCAGACCUGAUUGCUAGACGCAAUGCUCUGUUCUCAGUGUCCUUCUACAAUCAUAUGGAUGAUCCAAAUAACACAGAACAUGUCCUUGUUUUGAUUUAGCUGGAAGCAUAUUGAAGCAGACCUUCCCGUUUUUGGGUUGGUAGUGGUGUAUGCCCUGACCUGAAGCCCUUACUCUGGAAACUAAAAUCACAUUCAGGACCUUUCUUCUCUUUUUAAAUGUUUUUUUCUUGUUUGUCCCUGUAUUUUGAGGUUUUUGGACAAUGACAAUGAGCCACAUUUCUAACAUGUAAAGAAUCCUUACUGUCAACAGUCCA